rfam:Aptenodytes forsteri contig32750, whole genome shotgun sequence.
CUUGGUGCAUACGAUAAUGCA